rfam:Phytophthora infestans T30-4 supercont1.81 genomic scaffold, whole genome shotgun sequence.
GACCGCUUGGCCGAGCGAUUAAAGCGAUGACCUCUGACUGUCUUGUGACAUAACAGCGUGAGUUCAAGUCUCACAGCUGUCG